GUGUGCGGCAAGUCCUCGCUUCAUGCGUUGCGGUGUUUACACUGGAAUGCGUUUUCGCUGUAAUGCUCGAUUCCUUCCAUUAGGGACACCGUUAUACCGCUGAACGCGCGCCUUUAUACCGCGGAACGCGCGUGCCGAUAUAACACGGAACGCGUGCUGUUAUGAUGUAGAACGCGCGUCGUUAUGAGGCGGAAUGCGCCCACCCCGUUGUACCACGGGACGCGCGCCAUUACAAUGCGGUUUCUGACCGGUCAACGACAGACUACUUUCUUCAGCUGCGUCGCUCAGCGGUACAGUGAUACAGUACGUGGAAUGAUACAGUAACACGGUGUGUUGCCCUCCAGCAAUCUCGCAGUGUGUGGGUAGUAGUACAUCGUCUCUCGCCAAACUUUACCGUUGCAUUAUUUAUGGGGAAAUCGUUUUUUUCGAUUACCACGGCACUUUUCAGCAAUGCAUCUACUACUGCGUUAAACGAGGUCUGCUUGUCGCCCUCCUCUUCCUCCAUUGAAGGAGUGCAGACUACAGUGGCUUACUGCGUGGUCAGUCGUUUGGCUUGCAUGGCAUGAGUGCACAUUACAGCAGAACGGGAACGGUGCAGCGAGCACGGAGCAGUAACAGGAAUGAAGAUAGAAACCCGUCACAACCUCAGCGGCGAACACCGACCGAGCAAAGUAAAUCGCCACCGCGUGCACAUUAUAAGUGCGACCGUGCGCAACGAACCAUGUAAGAAAGGGCUGACGCAUAUGGGGGGACGCUUUCACCCUUCGUUGGGAAAGCGAUGAAGGUGGCACCGCGGCGGCUGUGGAGUCCACCGGCUGUCCUCGGGGUGUCAAAAACACGCGGCAGGAUCUACACCGCGAUCAUCUCAAGAGAAACCAUGAGCGUCCGCGGCUCCUGCGAGCGCCGACUUCUCCCGUGACCCGCCCUGCCACCAUCGUCGCUGGGGAUCGUCAGCGAGCGUGAGAUUACGAAUCGGGAGAAUUCUGCCAAGGGAAUUUGGGGAAUGUUUGCGCCGGACCUGGACGCCACUGCAAGUUCCCAGGGCAGGCUCCGUGAAUAGCGGCACCCGGCGGGGCUUCCACUGCGGUGGAUCGCAAGCAAAGCAAAGCCCCCGCUCCUCAAAAUGACGCGUUUUGCAAAUGUUUGCAAAGAAAUUAUAUAAACAACUUUUGUCGAGUUGUGGAGGAGUUCAUCGGAGCACUCAGCACAAUCUCCGUGGGACAUCCCGAGUCAGUGGUGACAUUUCCACAUUCCUGUGGCAGGGAACCAGUCCAUCCAAAGGACACAACUGUUGUCCCACCAAGUGACGCAGCAGCCUUAACUAGGAGGUGUGCCGAUUUUACCGGCCUCUGAGUGAUGAUGGUGGUGAUGAUGAUGUUUGAAGAUGAAGCUUAUGCUGAUGCGUCUAAUGAUAUUGCUGCUGAUGGUGAUGGUCGUUAUCAUGAUGUUAAUGACGAUUAUGAUAAGAUUGAUGAUGAAGCUAAUACUCAGUUUUAACACUCGAAUUGUAAAUGUUGUGGGUUUUACUCUCCAACACACCGGUGUGCUGUACCAGCAACGAAUUGGCACGUUUUGUUACGUGACAAACUUGUACUAAUUGGCUGUAUCGGGUGGUGGCGGAUUUAACGACACAUUCAUAUUUACGUAAUCUAACCCAAAAACCUCUAUAUGGAGAAGCUCAAUCUUGAUUUGAAGCUUUCGUGACUGCAGGAAUCCAUACUCUUUGGUUCUUUCGGUAAAGUCACGUAGGUAGAAACAUAAAAUAAAAUACAACAAAAAAUAAUAAAUCACGACGACAGUGGAACUGAUGAACCAGCAGUUCCACUGCUGGAUGAUUUUUUCCGCCUGAGGACGACAGCUUGUGUUGCGAUCGAAACGUCGUGAUAUUAUUUUUUGUUUUAUUUUAUUUUUCUACCUACGUGACUUUACCGAAAGAACCAAAUGGUAUGGAGAAGCUGAUACUGUUACUACUUUUGCCGAGGAAGCUGCUGAUGCUGAUGAUGCUGCUGUUACUGAACUGAGUUGACCCCGGCCGGAAUAUUUGACUCGCAGUCGUCCCGUCCGUACGCCCUUUUGCUGCUGCUUUUCCAACCGAUUCAUAUCCUUUGUGCUUACAGAACAACACAAUGUGGAAAUGUAUAUUUUUUUGGUAUAUAUAUUUUUCAUACUUGUUUAAAAUAAGCACAAACACAAGAGUUGUUAUGUGUUUACGUUGGCUUUGCCUCUUAUUUAUUGUUUUAAGAGACAGAGAGACAGAGAGGAGUCUUCUCCUCCUGCGGGGAUAGCUGUUACAACGGCACGCGACGCUCGCGCGCAAAACCCGAAACGCGAUCGCGGCAUCCCGGAGGAGAUUCGUUGAAACAAUUUAGCAAAGAGGAGGAGGAGGAGGGGGGCCGUGGGCGGCGGGUCCCAGCCAGGGGCGGCACGCCAGGGGCUUGCCGCGUGGUUUCGGAUGCCACGUGGUGGUUAUUUAAAGAGGGAACUGCAGGGAGGGGGGGGGGCUACGUGCCGAGUACCCCUCCCCCAAGAAUAACCCAUUCUCCCCCCACGAAUAAAGCUCCCCCUUUCCCCAAGAAUAACUACCCCUCCCCCCACUAAUAACGCCCCCCUCUCCCCACUAAUAACACCCUCCUCCACUGCUCUCCUCAUAACGCCUCUCCCCCCCUCCCUCACUGUUGUGCAAUCGGCUAGAAUUCCCGACCUACUGAAAACACGAAUGAAUAUGCGCUUUGUGGAAACAUAAUAGUUUUUUUAUUACUCACAGAUUGUGUGAAUUGCCAUCAAUUAAAAUCUGCUAUUUGAGACAGUGUGCAAUUGUGGGUCAAAUGGUAAUAUAUAUUGUCUAUAUAUCCAUACUGCAAACAUUUGGAGGAGAUUGUGACUUUGGGGGUGAAUGCCAAUGUCAGGACACUGAGCCACAACCAGCUGGGAUCCUUGAAAGAAAUCACCACCACCACCCACCACCACCAGUCGUCUUUUUAUCUUGUUCGUUGUAACGUUCUGUAACGUUCUGACACCGUGCCCCUACUAAGCAUCUGCGAGAAAGAGCUUCAUAGCUCAUCGGAUUGCUCCAGGAUAAAUAAAGAUUCCAAUUCUGAUCUCUCAGUCCCGUGAUGCACACGUCCAGACAGCACCUGCACACGAGGCGAUUCCUAUCGCUCUAUCUCUGCUGCUCUCGGAUGCGUUCCCUCUUUUGUACGUAUAUAUCCAUCUAACUUCUUUCGCACCAUACGUAUACAACCGUGCUAAUCAGAGAUGUGGUGAAAGGACAAACUAAAUACAAAAGGCAGCUUCAAAGAAAUUAGUUCUCAACCUAGAUGAUAAAAAAGCGCAGUGUUUCCAAUUGUCUUCCUAAUAUCGGAAAGGAGAGCGUUCCAGAUGGCCGCAGAAGCUCAUCUGAAAGCGCUGCGCGAUGCGGUAACCAUUUUUGUUCGAUGACCAGCCAGGAAGCCGCUGUUGCUGUGAAGACGACCGGAGUUUGCGUGAUGGUGGUUUGUGCUCUUUGACGAGAUCAGCCAACGCAUCGUGGUCCACUUGUGGCCCAGCACUGUGUGGGUGUAAUCAGCGCGACGACUCUGGCCUUCGUCUUGUGCAUCUGAGAUCCUCCCCUGGAGCGAGGUGCUCUAGCCCAAGCCCACUCCGGUCUCCGUCUCGCCACAUACAACAAAUAAAAUAAAAGGAUCCUUUGCCAAUCCAUCAUCGGUGCCACGGCCUUCUGGGAGCACAUCACUUCAGCAGCGUUGACAUUGAGUGCAAGCAAAACCCUGGACCGGUUUCGACGUGCAGUGCUUCGUCGGCAGUCAAGCUGGUUGAGAUCAGGCCCUGGGACCGAUUGGUUGCGUUAAUAAAAGCAGAGAUAUCUCUCCCUCCCCGGUUUACGCGGGGGGGGGGGGGAUGCGUUCCUGAAAUGUGCGACGACGAAUAUCGAGACGAUGUCAAUCGAAGCGGUUUUAACACGGGUAGUGGUAGGUAGUGGUAGGUGGUGGUGAAGGCUGAGAGGCGACGGAUAACGAGAAAGGAGGGGACAAUGCUUUCAGCGACGUUCAGAGCGUGUGUGGUGGUUGAGGCGAUACUAAAGCGAUGACGCAUUUGCGAAAAUACGUAAAAGGGGAGAGACGUACAUUGGGGUGACGCUGUACUUUUAUUUUACGGCGAGGGAAGGGAUAUGUGAAUGAGUCUGUAUCGUCUGCUUAUCUAUUUUUCAAAUGCGAAUUUAAGUACUGUAAUUGUUUCCUGAGAUUAUUUGCUUUUAUUCACUUUAUAUUUUUAAUGUUUAACAUCUUGUUUAUGAGCUCUCGCUGCCGUGUCUGUCGA